UGUUAUAAUGCUCUUGUCAGACAUGGUGGGGAAAGCACCAUUAUACAGGAAGGCAUUUAUUUUCUUUAGUUCACCUAUAUCAAGAGAACUGGUUAAUCACAUGAAGAAGGAUACAACUAUUUUACCUCGAAUUGUUGCACUGAAAGAGAUGAAUUUGGAGUACUUUGCUAUAGACAGCCAGG